AUUGAACGCUGGCGGCAGGCCUAACACAUGCAAGUCGAACGAGUGGCGGACGGGUGAGUAAUGUCUGGGAAACUGCCUAAUGGAGGGGGAUAACUACUGGAAACGGUAGCUACUACCGCAUACCAUCAGAUGUGCCCCGAUGGGAUUAGCUUGUUGGUGGGGUAACGGCUCACCAAGGCGACGAUCCCUAGCUGGUCUGAGAGGAUGACCAGCCACACUGGGACUGAGACACGGUCCAGACUCCUACGGGAGGCAGCAGUGGGGAAUAUUGCGCAAUGGGCGCAAGCCUGAUGCAGCCAUGCCGCGUGAAUGAAGAAGGCUUUCGGGUUGUAAAGUACUUUCAGUGGGGAGGCGUUACCUACAGAAGAAGCACCGGCUAACUCCGUGCCAGCAGCCGCGGUAAUAC
rnacentral:rRNA from 1 species